rnacentral:rRNA from 1 species
CAGUCGUACCAGCGGAUAAUCAACCUUUAGAUGCGAUUUUGUGGAGUGUGAGGAACUCAUCGCCUUCAUACCUGUAUAUUCGUGUACUUGGGGUGUACUUAUUCGUGGGGUAAGUUAACAUCAA